rnacentral:lncRNA from 1 species
CGCGUAGUCGCGAUACUUCUUCUUCUUCGUCCCUUUAAAUGAAUCGAGAAAGGAAGAUGUAAUUAUGCGUAAGAAAAUAAAAGGGUUUUUGUAUUGUUAGUUUUUUAAACGAGUGACGAUUGUGAAAAUUUGAAAUUGUGAUCUAAGAAAACGAAAUUAGAAGAUCGUGCAGCAGAAGAAGAAGAAAAAGAAGAAAAAGGGUUGCAAUGUAUUUUGAAUAAUUCAUCGUCGAAGUUUCGGGUGCAAGAUGCAAGGGGAGAGGGUGGAAAUCUUUGAAAACGAGGAGAAAUGGAGUACAAUUGUGUCUCAUCGAAUUGGUGCCUCGUGAGUUACGUUAGACGCUCCCUAAUUAAUUCAUCGUCGAAGAUUUUCGCGAGCAUAAUCAAAAAGGACGACGAUGGAUGGGAGCGUUGCCGAUCAUCGAAGGUCCGAUUUUACCGGACCCUCUACUUCAAAUUGAAAACAGGGAUGAAAGGGUCAGAAAACGUUGGAAGAGAAGGACACGUGUCUUGCGUAGAAUUAGGAAGAAAGGGUGAAAUAUUUUUGAAAAGCAACCAGUCAAAAGCGUCGUGGAAAGUCGAACACCUGUCGGUGGUGGUGG